rnacentral:rRNA from 1 species
UACGAAGGGGGCUAGCGUUGUUCGGAAUCACUGGGCGUAAAGCGCACGUAGGCGGAUUCUUAAGUCGGGGGUGAAAUCCUGAGGCUCAACCUCAGAACUGCCUUCGAUACUGGGGAUCUUGAGUUCGGAAGAGGUUGGUGGAACAGCUAGUGUAGAGGUGAAAUUCGUAGAUAUUAGCUAGAACACCAGUGGCGAAGGCGGCCAACUGGUCCGACACUGACGCUGAGGUGCGAAAGCGUGGGGAGCAAACAGG